GCAGUGGGACGAAAAGACCCCGUGAACCUUUACUAUAGCUUAGUAUUGGCUUUGGAUAAGUAAUGUGUAGGAUAGGUGGGAGACUUUGAAGUGGCGUCGCCAGGCGUUGUGGAGUCAUUGUUGAAAUACCACCCUUUGCUUAUCUAGAGUCUAACCUCUAAUCAGGGACAGUGCUUGGUGGGUAGUUUGACUGGGGUGGUCGCCUCCAAAAGAGUAACGGAGGCUUCUAAAGGUGCCCUCAACACGGUUGGCAAUCGUGUGCAGAGUGCAAUGGCACAAGGGCGCUUGACUGUGAGACAUACAGGUCGAACAGGUAGGAAACUAGAGCAUAGUGAUCCGGUGGUUCCGUAUGGAAGGGCCAUCGCUCAAAGGAUAAAAGGUACUCCGGGGAUAA
rnacentral:rRNA from 1 species